rnacentral:rRNA from 1 species
UACGGAGGGGGCUAGCGUUGUUCGGAAUUACUGGGCGUAAAGCGCACGUAGGCGGACUGUUAAGUCGGGGGUGAAAUCCUGGGGCUCAACCUCAGAAUUGCCUCCGAUACUGGCAGUCUCGAGUGCGGGAGAGGUGAGUGGAAUUCCCAGUGUAGAGGUGAAAUUCGUAGAUAUUGGGAAGAACACCAGUGGCGAAGGCGGCUCACUGGCCCGUAACUGACGCUGAGACGCGAAAGCGUGGGGAGCAAACAGG